rnacentral:lncRNA from 1 species
AGAACUUUGCGGAAGAAGGGCACUUUCGAUGCGGCAACCGUGAGUUUCCGAAUAGAAAGGAACCAUAGGCCUACAUUGAAGCCCUCUGCUUGCCCCUCCAUUUUCAAUUUCGAGGGUUAUGGUGUAUGGGUUACCGACCGACCAUCAACAACAUCUCUGACUUCAGAGUCAAGCAAAAGCCGGACUGAACGGAGGAGCGACACUAGUCAGUGGAGCCUGAGGAUGAUAUCUUCAUCACUGAAAAGGUUUUCAUCCUGGAGGAGACCGUGCAGGAGGAGGCAGAGGAGGAAAGAAUGGUUAGUACAGCCAAACUGACCCCUGGCUGCCAGACUGUUCCUGUGCUGCGGUGGAGAAGACGUCCACCAGGACCAUCAUUAAAGAGCUCAGGGCCCAGCUAGAUUACGCUCACGACCAUCAGUAUACAACCCAGUCCUGCCCCUAUAUGCCACAGAUGGAGCUGACGGAGAGUGAGAGUGAGAUCAGUGAAGACCAAACGCGCUGUAUGAACCUGAGAGCUCAGAAUAACAAUCAUCACAGUCCGAGCCAAGAUGUACUAUCGAAGAAUGUGUGCAAAAUCCAAAAUACAUAGUCUUUGAUAGCAAACUGAAGGAGUUGUUCAAUGUCUGCCAUGAGCCAGGAUGUUGAGCAGGUGUCAUCAGUUCAACCCUGAAAAGAAAUGGUUUUGCCAUCACCAUGGAGACAGAGUGUGUUGUGGGCCACAUGAGGAAUUAGGAGUCCCAGACCAGAGAGGGAAAGUUGUUUGCCGGGAAGAUGGCGCCAAAAGAUGGCGCUAAAGAAAAUGGCUGACGUUUUACAUUCACCCAACCAAUUGCGCUAUUUUGCUGUUGUUUUUUUGUGUAACUUAUUUUUUUACUUGUGUACAUAAUGUUUCUGUUACCGUCUCUUAUGACCG